rnacentral:pre_miRNA from 1 species
UAUAAUUUUUGACUUUUCGUCUUAUUCAAAAACUUUUUACGAUUGAUAUUUUUUAUUUUUAUUAGAUGAUAAAUCAUAAAGUACUUUACGUGUGACUAAUUUUUUUUAAUUUUCUAUUUUUUUUAAAUAAGACGGAUGAUCAAACGUUGGAUACGAACACC